rnacentral:lncRNA from 1 species
CAGAAUGGAACUCGGAGCUGCUGGCACCCCCAUCCAUCUUUGGAGGCCCUGGACAUAAUCGAUGGGGCAGGCAGAAGACCUGCAGCUCCAAGCCUCCUAGGAAAGGCAUCUCUCGGCAGGUAUUAGGUUUUCUCUAAGCUCAGCUGCUGCUCUUGGCCUUCUUUCUCCAGUUUCUGUCCUCCUCUACCAGCCUUGAGACCGCGGUGUGGAGAUAUGUCCCGUCUGUUUUGUCUGGGCUGCUUCUGUCUGGGACGAUGGAAUCCUCACUAAAUGGGAAAUGUUUAUGGAGGAGGAGGGAGAUGGGGAAGUCAUUCCCUCCUGUUAACAUUUCGGCUCAAGUUAGCUUAUUCAUAUGAAUGACACAAAGUCAUAAUUGCUCCUAAUCAAAUCUGUGCACACAGUAAAGCCUCUUUUAUGCAAUGAGUGUUUACUUAAUUGAAUGUUACAUAUAAAUGAAGGUUACUCCUUCAAGUGACAAACAUGUGAGGGAUUUCAAUGGAAAAUUCUGAAAAUGAGCCCCUGAAGGAGGGAAGAUGGGAGAUGAAAGAUGCUGGAAGAGAACAGAAUGGGGCCAAAACACUCUGGGAGAGCACCGGGGGAAUCCCAGUUGCUCUUGGGU